rnacentral:rRNA from 1 species
GGAUAACGUUUGGAAACGAACGCUAAUACCGCAUGAUAUUAUUGAGCUGCAUGGCUUGAUAAUCAAAGGAGCAAUCCGCUGAAAGAUGGGCUCGCGUCCGAUUAGGUAGUUGGCGGGGCAACGGCCCACCAAGCCGACGAUCGGUAGCCGGACUGAGAGGUUGAACGGCCACAUUGGGACUGAGACACGGCCCAGACUCCUACGGGAGGCAACAGUGAGGGAUAUUGGUCAAUGGGGGAAACCCUGAACCAGCAACGCCGCGUGAGGGAAGACGGUUUUCGGAUUGUAAACCUCUGUCCUCUGUGAAGAUAAUGACGGUAGCAGAGGAGGAAGCUCCGGCUAACUACGUGCCAGCAGCCGCGGUAAUACGUAGGGAGCAAGCGUUGUCCGGAUUUACUGGGUGUAAAGGGUGCGUAGGCGGCUUUGCAAGUCAGAAGUGAAAUCCAUGGGCUUAACCCAUGAACUGCUUUUGAAACUGCAGAGCUUGAGUGGAGUAGAGGUAGGCGGAAUUCCCGGUGUAGCGGUGAAAUGCGUAGAGAUCGGGAGGAACACCAGUGGCGAAGGCGGCCUGCUGGGCUCUAACUGACGCUGAGGCACGAAAGCGUGGGUAGCAAACAGGAUUAGAUACCCUGGUAGUCCACGCUGUAAACGAUGAUUACUAGGUGUGGGUGGACUGACCCCAUCCGUGCCGGA